AAUUCAUGGUCCGGUGAAGUGUUCGAAUUACAGUGAUGUGGGCAAUUUGCUGCCCGCAACAUUAUGAGAAGUCCACUGAACCUUAUCAUUUAGAGAAAGGAGAAAUCGUAAUAAGGUUUUCGUAGGUGAACCUGYGGAAAGAUCAUUG
rnacentral:rRNA from 1 species